UACGGAGGGUGCAAGCGUUGUUCGGAAUCACUGGGCGUAAAGGGCGUGUAGGCGGUCCGCUAAGUCUGAUGUGAAAGCCCGGGGCUCACCCCCGGAAGGGCAUUGGAAACUGGCGGACUCGAGUCCCGGAGAGGAAGGUGGAAUUCCUGGUGUAGCGGUGAAAUGCGUAGAUAUCAGGAGGAACACCGGUGGCGAAGGCGGGUCUCUGGGCCGAUACUGACGCUGAGGAGCGAAAGCGUGGGGAGCAAACAGG
rnacentral:rRNA from 1 species